rnacentral:rRNA from 1 species
UACGUAGGGUGCAAGCGUUGUCCGGAAUUAUUGGGCGUAAAGAGCUCGUAGGCGGUUUGUCGCGUCUGCUGUGAAAACUCGGGGCUUAACCCCGGGCCUGCAGUGGGUACGGGCAGACUAGAGUGCGGUAGGGGAGACUGGAAUUCCUGGUGUAGCGGUGAAAUGCGCAGAUAUCAGGAGGAACACCGGUGGCGAAGGCGACUUUCCGGUCUGUAACUGACACUGAGGCGCGAAAGCGUGGGGAGCAAACAGG